AUUGAACGCUGGCGGCAGGCCUAACACAUGCAAGUCGAACGAGUGGCGGACGGGUGAGUAAUGUCUGGGAAACUGCCUGAUGGAGGGGGAUAACUACGGGAAACGGUAGCUAAUACCGCAUACCAGCGGAUGGGCCCAGAUGGGAUUAGCUAGGUGGUGGGGUAAAGGCUUACCUAGGCGACGAUCCCUAGCUGGUCUGAGAGGAGGACCAGCCACACUGGAACGGAGACACGGUCCAGACUCCUACGGUAGGCAGCAGUGGGGAAUAUUGCACAAUGGGCGCAAGCCUGAUGCAGCCAUGCCGCGUGUAUGAAGAAGGCCUUCGGGUUGUAAAGUACUUUAAGCGGGGAGGCGUUACCAGCAGAAUAAGCACCGGCUAACUCCGUGCCAGCCGCCGCGGUAAUUC
rnacentral:rRNA from 1 species